rnacentral:lncRNA from 1 species
GAAGUGUGCGCUAGAGGGAACAGCCGGGCGGCCGAGGGCGGAGAGGCGGCGCGAAUGUGACCUCAGCGGCCGCCGCGCUCCCUCCCGCCCUCUCCCGCUCCGGGCUCGGGUUUCUAGGACUGCCUGGAGAAGUGUGUCUUGUGCACAGCUCUGGAAUGCAUUUGGCAGGCUGACGAGCAGCGAGGGGCAGCAUCCUGGAGGGAGGAGGGGUGCAGCUCGCCCGCGCGCCGCCGGCAGGUUUCCUCCCGGCCUGGAAGACCUCCGGCACCCGCCACUCGGCCUCCCGGCGCGCUAACCUUGCCCAGCCAGCAGACCUGCUUAGAGCAUCCAAUCGCAUGCGGGGCCUGCUUAGGGUCAGAGAGUUUAUUCCUUCACCAUAGGUUCCAGAGAAAGCUAUCCCCAGAUGCAAGUGAUUGCUAGGAAGUAGAAAAGGGAGCCCUACGUUGUGGAAGGAAGACAACAGUAUAGGACCAUCAGCAGGACCGGACAGAGAGGGGCACCCCUGGCUGUCCUGGAACUUGUAGACCAGGCUGGCCUUGAACUCAGAAAUCCGCCUGCCUCUGACUCCCGAGUGCUGAGAUUAAAGGUGUGCACCACCACACCCGACAAGGAAGCCUGUUUUAAGAAGUGAUUCCAUGGAGGAGUUCUGCGGCGGCUCAGGGCUUGACUAAACAGUGGACCUCAGACAAGAGAGGCUAAACCAGGCUGCAGGUGACAGGAAGAAUUGAAUAAACUGAAAGCAAAGGGCAGCCUUCUAAUUACGCUUCGUGGCUAUGUGGACAACCUGGAGAAGUCUGGAAACGUGAGUGGUGCUAAUCCCCUUUGUAAUGAAAGGCCCGGGUAAAAACAGAUGGGGCAAGUAGGUGUAAUGGGUAUUUCAGGAGCUUGAAUCUGAUGUCACAGCUUGUCUGGAUGGGACGUGCAUCUACUUGCAGAGCUAUGUUCCCAUCUAGUGUAAUUGUGGGUGUUUUAAUUCAGGCGUCACCUCUAUUUUGUCCUCUCUCCACAGCUUUCCUCCUCCAUUUUACUACUUGAGGGAGCAGUGGGUGGGAUACUAGGCAAGUAGCUGCAAUGGCUGGUGCUUUAUGGUUCCCUGGCAUCCCCUGAAUCUGUUAACAUCCCAACCUUCUUGACAGCCAGCCCCACCCCAUCACAUUCUUACUCCUUCCCUUUCCAAGAAAGAAGCCAGAAGCCCGAAGCCAGCAGUAGAGCUCUGACUGGCUUGUAUGCCUAGAAAGGAAGGGCUCUUCUUUCGCCUCACGGGCACAAAUGGGACCCACGAGCGCCGAUUUCAGACUAUUCUGAUCCCUUCAAAAAGAAAGUUAGGAGUCCAGGCUACUGUGAGUGAAUUUGAUUCUAAUUGUUUCAGAGAAUAUGGAAUAAAAUAUCUCAUUUGCAGUUGUUUA